AAGUCGUAACAAGGUUUCCGUAGGUGAACCUGCGGAAGGAUCAUUAGUGAAUUUUAGGGCGUGCUUUCGAGCAGCCUGACCUCCACUUUCUACUCUUGUGCACCUUUUCACAUUAGGACUCUGAUUGCGCGCCUUCGGGCAAGCGGUUGUGUCCUUUUGUACCCCAUUUUAUUUUAAACCUGAGUUUAAGAAUGUAACAAAAAACCAUAACAAAAAAAAACUUUCAACAACGGAUCUCUUGGCUCUC
rnacentral:misc_RNA from 1 species